GGAAUAUUGGACAAUGGGGGCAACCCUGAUCCAGCAAUGCCGCGUGUGUGAAGAAGGCCUUCGGGUUGUAAAGCACUUUCAUUGAGGAGGAAAAGCUGUGCGUUAAUAGCGUACAGCCGUGACGUUACUCAAAGAAGAAGCACCGGCUAACUCCGUGCCAGCAGCCGCGGUAAUACGGAGGGUGCAAGCGUUAAUCGGCAUUACUGGGCGUAAAGCGCGCGUAGGUGGUUUGUUAAGUUGGAUGUGAAAGCCCCGGGCUCAACCUGGGAACUGCAUCCAAAACUGGCAAGCUAGAGUACGGUAGAGGGUGGUGGAAUUUCCUGUGUAGCGGUGAAAUGCGUAGAUAUAGGAAGGAACACCAGUGGCGAAGGCGACCACCUGGACUGAUACUGACACUGAGGUGCGAAAGCGUGGGGAGCAAAC
rnacentral:rRNA from 1 species